rnacentral:rRNA from 1 species
UACGUAGGGUGCAAGCGUUGUCCGGAUUUAUUGGGCGUAAAGAGCGUGUAGGCGGCCAUGUAGGUCCGUUGUGAAAACUCGAGGCUCAACCUCGAGACGCCGAUGGAAACCAUGUGGCUAGAGUCCGGAAGAGGAGAGUGGAAUUCCUGGUGUAGAGGUGAAAUGCGCAGAUAUCAGGAGGAACACCGAUGGCGAAGGCAGGUCUCUGGGCCACUACUGACGCUGAGAAGCGAAAGCAUGGGGAGCGAACAGG